rnacentral:ncRNA from 8 species
GUCUCUGUGGCGCAAUCGGUUAGCGUGUUCGGCUGUUAACCGGAAGGUUGGUGGUUCGAGACCACCCAGGACG